AAAAAGUGUAUAAGAUUUUAAAAACAGUAAGUUCAUGCACAUAAGAAAAGCUUCAGAUUCAGCGAAAGCUAAAUUUACAAUAAUUUUUUGUGGAGAAUCUUUAAGUGGAAAUAAAAAAAUAAAUUUCAAUUAACUCUUUGGAAGAUUUUAAACGCUGACCUUAUAUUUUGUGAUCCUAGAGGCGAACUUAGAAAAUUUUGUUGUUUUAUUGAUGACGAUUCUGUUAAUAAAAUUUCGUAGCCUGCAAGUUAUUUUUCUCAUUCAAAUUUCUAAAAAAUAUUAUUCUAAUUUUUACUUAAUCUUUCUGGGUGUCCGUUGUAUAAUGUUUUUUAAAUUUCUGCUAAAAGUUUACUGAAAAAAUUUUUUACUGUAUAUCUCAAGUUAAUAUUUACAUAAAAAUAAGACCCUUUUUUUUCCCUUUUAGCUCUUCAAAUGUUGGUAAACCUGUGCCAGUCCACCAUGAAUUUCUGAUUUCGAAAAAUGUCAAGCAUUUUUUGUUGCAGUUUUAUUGCAGUUUUUCAGAACUCUUCUGUGCUAUUCCAAGUGAUUCUAUGUAGACAAAGAUAUGAUUUCUCUGUUGUUUUUAUUAUUUUUAAAAUUAAAUUGAAAUUUGUGUAAUAUUUGUAUUGAUUAAGGUUAUGUCUUUGUAUUUAUAUGUCUUUGUAUAAUAAAGUGUUUGCAAGAGACAA